rnacentral:rRNA from 1 species
AUUGAACGCUGGCGGCAGGCUUAACACAUGCAAGUCGAGCGGGGUGAUGGUGCUUGCACUAUCACUUAGCGGCGGACGGGUGAGUAAUGCUUAGGAAUCUGCCUAUUAGUGGGGGACAACAUCUCGAAAGGGAUGCUAAUACCGCAUACGUCCUACGGGAGAAAGCAGGGGAUCACUUGUGACCUUGCGCUAAUAGAUGAGACUAAGUCGGAUUAGCUAGUUGGUGGGGUAAAGGCCUACCAAGGCGACGAUCUGUAGGGGGUCAGAGAGGAUGAUCCGCCACACUGGGACUGGGACACGGCCCAGACUCCUACGGGAGGCAGCAGUGGGGAAUAUUGGACAAUGGGGGGAACCCUGAUCCAGCCAUGCCGCGUGUGUGAGGAAGGCCUUAUGGUUGUAAAGCACUUUAAGCGAGGAGGAGGCUCUUUUGGUUAAUACCCAAGAUGAGUGGACGUUACUCGCAGAAUAAGCACCGGCUAACUCUGUGCCAGCCGCCGCGGUAA